GACGAACGCGGCGGCGUGCCUAAUACAUGCAAGUGGGACGCAAGGGAACACACUGUGCUUGCACACCGUGUUUUCUUGAGUCGCGAACGGGUGAGUAACGCGUAGGUAACCUGCCUAUUAGCGGGGGAUAACUAUUGGAAACGAUAGCUAAUACCGCAUAAUAUUAAUUAUUGCAUGAUAAUUGAUUGAAAGAUGCAAGCGCAUCACUAGUAGAUGGACCUGCGUUGUAUUAGCUAGUUGGUAAGGUAAGAGCUCACCAAGGCGACGAUACAUAGCCGACCUGAGAGGGUGAUCGGCCACACUGGGACUGAGACACGGCCCAGACUCCUACGGGAGGCAGCAGUAGGGAAUCUUCGGCAAUGGACGAAAGUCUGACCGAGCAACGCCGCGUGAGUGAAGAAGGUUUUCGGAUCGUAAAGCUCUGUUGUAAGUCAAGAACGUGUGUGAGAGUGGAAAGUUCACACAGUGACGGAGCUACCAGA
rnacentral:rRNA from 1 species